rnacentral:rRNA from 1 species
CCCUACGGGGGGCAGCAGUGAGGAAUAUUGGUCAAUGGUCGGGAGACUGAACCGGCCAAGCCGCGUGAGGGAUGAAGGUACAGAGUAUCGUAAACCCCUUUUGUCAGGGAACAAAGGCGGGGACGUGUCCCCGGAUGAGUGUACCUGAAGAAAAAGCAUCGGCUAACUCCGUGCCAGCAGCCGCGGUAAUACGGAGGAUGCGAGCGUUAUCCGGAUUUAUUGGGUUUAAAGGGUGCGCAGGCGGUCUGUUAAGUCAGCGGUCAAAGCCCGGGGCUCAACCCCGGCCCGCCGUUGAGACUGGCAGC